rnacentral:rRNA from 1 species
UCCUAAGGUAGCGAAAUUCCUUGUCGGGUAAGUUCCGACCUGCACGAAUGGCGUAAUGAUGGCCAGGCUGUCUCCACCCGAGACUCAGUGAAAUUGAACUCGCUGUGAAGAUGCAGUGUACCCGCGGCAAGACGGAAAGACCCCGUGAACCUUUACUAUAGCUUGACACUGAACAUUGAGCCUUGAUGUGUAGGAUAGGUGGGAGGCUUUGAAGCGUGGACGCCAGUCUGCGUGGAGCCAACCUUGAAAUACCACCCUUUAAUGUUUGAUGUUCUAACCUGGCGCCGUGAUCCGGCGUGGGGACAGUGUCUGGUGGGUAGUUUGACUGGGGCGGUCUCCUCCUAAAGAGUAACGGAGGAGCACGAAGGUUGGCUAAUCCUGGUCGGACAUCAGGAGGUUAGUGCAAUGGCAUAAGCCAGCUUGACUGCGAGCGUGACGGCGCGAGCAGGUGCGAAAGCAGGUCAUAGUGAUCCGGUGGUUCUGAAUGGAAGGGCCAUCGCUCAACGGAUAAAAGGUACUCCGGGGAUAACAGGCUGAUACCGCCCAAGAGUUCAUAUCGACGGCGGUGUUUGGCACCUCGAUGUCGGCUCAUCACAUCCUGGGGCUGAAGUAGGUCCCAAGGGUAUGGCUGUUCGCCAUUUAAAGUGGUACGCGAGCUGGGUUUAGAACGUCGUGAGACAGUUCGGUCCCUAUCUGCCGUGGGCGCUGGAGAAUUGAGGGGGGCUGCUCCUAGUACGAGAGGACCGGAGUGGACGCAUCACUGGUGUUCGGGUUGUCAUGCCAAUGGCAUUGCCCGGUAGCUACAUGCGGAAGAGAUAAGUGCUGAAAGCAUCUAAGCACGAAACUUGCCCCGAGAUGAGUUCUCCCUGAGACUUAGAGUCUCCUGAAGGAACGUUGAAGACGACGACGUUGAUAGGCCGGGUGUGUAAGCGCAGCGAUGCGUUGAGCUAACCGGUACUAAUGAACCGUGAGGCUUAACCUU